AGCGCAGGCGGACCGGCAAGUUGGAAGUGAAAACUAUGGGCUCAACCCAUAAAUUGCCUUCAAAAACUGCUGGCCUUGAGUAGUGCAGAGGUAGGUGGAAUUCCCGGUGUAGCGGUGGAAUGCGUAGAUAUCGGGAGGAACACCAGUGGCGAAGGCGACCUACUGGGCACCAACUGACGCUGAGGCUCGAAAGCAUGGGUAGCAAACA
rnacentral:rRNA from 1 species